rnacentral:misc_RNA from 1 species
GAAAUGCGAUAAGUAAUGUGAAUUGCAGAAUUCAGUGAAUCAUCGAAUCUUUGGACGCACAUUGCGCCCGCCAGUAUUCUGGCGGGCAUGCCUGUCCGAGCGUCAUUUCAACCAUCAAGCCCCCGGGCUUGUGUUGGGGACCUGCGGCUGCCCGCAGGCCCUGAAAACCAGUGGCGGGCUCGCUGUCACACCGAGCGUAGUAGCAAUCACCUCGCUCAGGGCGUGCUGCGGGUUCCGGCCGUUAAACAGCCUUACAAAACCCAAGGUUGACCUCGGAUCAGGUAGGAAGACCCGCUGAACUUAAGC